AAACAUUGUUUAGCAACCAAACUUGGCAGGUGUCAUGUUUGUGUUAAACACGAAGGCGCGGUAUAAAAGGCCGCUUCCCAAGGAAGCAUCGGCUUAUUUGUCAAUCAACCGCCGUGGAGUGAGGAUCAAAUUCAAGAUGGCGGUAAAAGUCAAGUACAAAAUGCAGAGGGGAGAGGUUUCAAAGCGCCCCCUGAUGUAUAAAAAUGCCAAUUCUACCUUCUAGUCCGAUAAAAUGUGUAAAAAAGGAAACUCAGUAGAAGUAAAGCUACGAAACCAUCGUGAUUUACGCAAAAAAAAAAAAAACAAGCAAACGCAUGACCAGAAAACAACGAUUUCAAACCUCGAAAAAAGAUAUACCCAAGAAGCAAGUCAUGGUGACAUUUGAACAAUCAACAAGAUAAUGGCUUAUGGCCAACUCACUUAAAUGACUCCAACUCACUUAGAUGGAUAUCAGGCAUUUCUUUAGUAGCCCUUCAGUUGUUUGGUGUACAUAUAUGUGUAAGAAUAUAAGCUUAGACAUUGUACAAAGGGUUUUCUGCUGUUUCUGUGAGCCAGUUAUGCACUAUAAAAACAAAUAUCCAAACAUGUUUUCUUUUAUUGUAUACCACUCCCUUGUUUUGUACAAACAAAUAGUAAGUGUUGCAUUUUAUUGGGACAUAACUAAGCCCUACUUUUAACCCUGCAUCUGAUAAAUUAGCACGAGGGCACAAAGGUCUAAUGACCAAGUGCUUUCCUAGAAAUCAGGUUGACUGCACUAUACUCCCUAUUCAAACAGGUGUACCUAGGACUCUGUUGAGUAUAUUUUUAAAUGACAGACAGGGUGAGGGUAAGUUGACAAAUUUCCUUAGCCUUUCUUUAUUUUCUGGAUUAAGAAGUCUGAUACUAACAGCAGGAUGGCACCAGAGAAAGGACCCAAGGUAAUGACCACCAUAGAUAAAGUAAUAUCAGAGUUUAUCUUGCACAUUCCCUGGAUGCCGUUGAAAUAUCUUAUGAAACUGGGGUCAGUUGCCGAAGUCUGAUCAUAGUAAACAUGUAUUGAUCAACUAUUAAAUUUUGUAAAAAGAUAAUAAAGAUAAAUCUUGACAAAUUGACUUUCUGUCAAAGUAGAAGUCAACUGGGGUUCAACAUCCCCUGACCUGCCCACUACACCAAAUUUUCUUCCUGCUCAGGUAAAUGACAAAACACUUUGUGGAUUUUUGGUUAAUUCUUGAACAGAUGUACAACAGCAGAUAGGCACACAAAAAAGUAGAAAUAAUGGUUUCACUAGUAUAACUUUUACUGAAGUGUCCUCUUACACUACAGCUGUAAAGUGACUUAUAAAUAAUAAAAUAUAUAUGAUGUA